CGGAUAAUCAAAAACAUUUAUUUUAUAUAUCUUUGUUGCUUUCCCUGAAUCGCAACAUUUACGAUUCCCUAUAUUAUCAGAGUAAGUGAACUAUAAAAGUUGAAAUACCAAUGCUUAACAUCUUUUGUAUUGAUGUUUUACCUAUAUAAUUCUAUAUACAAACAUUCACCACAAUACGUUCUUUUCUCAAAACAAAUAUUCUCAUUCAUUGAACACUUCAUAAAUACUGUAUUCUAGUACUUUAUUAUCAUAUUACCAUCUAAGUUUCAAAAGAAAGAAAACAUGAUUCUCUUGCACGUCUUCUUAUGCAUAUUGUCCAAUAGCAGAUAAUAUUGCUUUGAAUCCUUAACCUGAAAAAAGUUUAUUUUUGCAAGAUUGAUCUCGACAGCUCAACAAAUCUAACAGUUUUCAUGCAUCAUAUAGCACAUACUUUCAUAUGCUCAGUUCAUAAUCAUACUAAACAUGCAUUAUAAUCUAGAACGAUAAGAUUUAGCAUAUCAUAUAUCAUGUCAAGACCGAGUUCCAAAACUCAAUAUAUUUUAGUCAUAAGUUGACUUUCAUGCUUCAAUGAGCAUAGUAUAAUCAUGUCAAGUUCAUAUAGCAAAUAGGAACUGGAAAACUUGUCUGGUUUGUUGAUUACCAACUAUAGCUUAUCAUCUAAUAGUUAUCCGCUCUUCACGAUUCCUACACAAUCAUAUAGUCAUAAGUUAUAUAAUCCAUGUCAACCUAGUUCACAUUUAAUUCAAUGUACUAGCUUAGUUUGUCUUGCCUCUAUUUUGAUUAUUGGUUUCCUUUAGAAACUUUUUACCCGUUAUGAUAAUAAUAUAAAUAUAUAUAUUCCAUGGGAACCAAGGUGACUGUGAUUGGGUGGGGUGUCAACCAAUUUUUUUUUCAAUGGAUGGGUUCCACAUGAAACCGUCCCAAUAAAUCAAACGUUUGGUUGUCACAGAUUGGUGGUUUCCAUUCAGCAAGAACUAUUAAGGUGAAUCCAUAAAUUUUAAACUAGGCUUAUUCCGGAAGUAACCUUUUUGCCAUGCGUCAGACUUAGAUGGAUGUGUACAUUAUCAAACAUUCCAUUUCUAAUAAGAGUUUUAGUAUAACAACCCCAUCUCCUGCUGAAUCAGGCUUUCUCCCAUUUGAAUAAGACCAUCUAAUUGUAGAGUAUCCCAACUUCCCAUUUAGUUAAAUGAUUUUCGCAAUGGGUUUUCCUUAAUUAUUGUGAAUCCGGGUGGCAGCUAUUUUGAACUUAAUUUCCAUUAUCCAUACUACUUGAGUUAAUCUAGUACUCAUAUAUCCUCAAACAAUUUACAGAGAAAACCAACUAAUUUCUCAUGUUUUAAUAAAAUAACUUUAUUGGGCCAUUUUAUCAAAUAUCGAACAUGCAUGCUUUAAAAACUCAAAUCUUUUAUGAAUUCAGAGCAUAAACCUCAACUCCAUAAUCAAUUACAUCCUUAUAACAUCCGAACCCUUCUUGAUUCCAUAAUCCAAACUCCCACAACCAAUUUCAGAAAUUAAUAACUAUAAUUUAACUAAUUCCUAUAAUUUGCACAAAAGAAGAAGUUUUAUACCUUUAUUAUUGUGAAGUUGAAGAUAGUUUGCUCCAUAUUGCUCUUGCUACCUCUUUUUCCUAUUCACAAUUGUAGAGAAUAGUGGAAGAACUGAAAAUUUUUACUGGGAAUUUAACAGUGUGUUAGUCUUUCUUCUUUUUUUAUCUUUUUUUCUGAAACGGAAGAUAGGAUGAGAGAGCAGGGGAGUUAUGUUAUUUCCUUAGCUAUCUCUUAAAACGGAAGAUAGGAUGAGAGAGCAGGGGAAUUAUGU
rnacentral:lncRNA from 1 species